AUGUUGUUACAAAGCAAAUAGAAUGUCGAAACUGUUCAUUUUAUUCUUCUGCUUUCUUCAGAUGUUUCCAACAAAAUUCUUUCUUGUCGAGACAGCAGAUGUAGAGGCAACGAAUGCAGAAGAUUAUAUCUUUUAUGGUGGUAAUUAUCCUUCAUUUAAUCCAUUAGAUAUAGAGAAGGGGAAAAAAGAAGACUUAAGAAAACAAUUAGAGAGAAAAAAAAAAGAAGAAAAUAAAAUAAAAAAAGAAAAAGAGAAAAUAAGAAAAGAAAAGAAAAGAAAAAAACAAAAAAAGACAAGAAAUAUUGAAGCACCAUCAAUUCGGAAUACUGAUAAAUUUGAAUAAAUCUUUGAGAUCCUUUUUGAAAUAAAUAAAUUGAUUAAUAAUAUUUA